rnacentral:rRNA from 1 species
UACAGAGGGUGCGAGCGUUGUCCGGAAUCACUGGGCGUAAAGGGCGCGUAGGUGGUGGCUUAAGCGUGCGGUGAAAGCUCGGAGCUCAACUCCGAGUCGGCCGUGCGAACUGGGCUCACUGGAGCAUAGUAGAGGCAGGUGGAAUUCCGGGUGUAGCGGUGGAAUGCGUAGAGAUCCGGAAGAACACCGGUGGCGAAGGCGGCCUGCU